GUCUGUCCCACGACCGGAACGUCACUACUUUUUGCAAAAUAUCUCAAAAUAAAUAAAUACCUUGGACUUCAACCUAUAUCCGAUUGGUAGAUUGAUUUUUUUCCAAACUUCCUGCAUUUAUCCGAACCCUCGAGGUCAACCAGUGUAUACACACGGCGGCAAAUUCAAAGUCUACGGGGAUUUAACAUGGUAAACUCGUCCAUUAACGUCUAGUUUACGGGGCCGGGAACCAGUUUUCGAAGGGAGUAGUCGUCCUUUGCAAAAUAAAUUUCCGAAAAAUCUUUAAAAAUUAAAGGAAUUAAUUUAAAUUGUUUUCACUGAUAAUAUAACUUUCCCUUUGAAUUAGAAUAAAUUUUAACAGCAAUUAACAAGUUUAAUUAUAAACUGCGAGAAAAUAGUCCGAAUCUAACGAAGUACAACUUGUGGAUAAUGGAUGUUGACAUGAUGAUGCAAGCUCGCCAGUGUUUAAAACCAAUAUUAAGCUUGAUUUAGACACUGCAGUAUAAAGAAAGAAGCAGACCAGAAAUCUUAGGCGAAGGCAAAGAUGAUAUGCAUAACAAAAGUAGUUGCAUAAUUCACUAGAGUUCGAAGUUAUGAUGACCAUGCAGAGUCGAGAUAUUGUAACAAAGACAUGCCUGCAUGAAGAAGACAGUUCACUCAAUUUUUUUAAGAAUAAUUUGUCAGAUUUAAUUUCAUCUUAUGUUGGACAAAACAAUCAGAACAUUCUUCUGGAUCACAGCUAGCACAAAGUAUUGACAAAACCAAAGAUGACCUGGUAGUCUGCCAAUGGAGUGAUUACUGGAUGAUCUAGACAACACCAUUUCCACAGAAAUUUUAGGAUUGAGACUUGAUCUCCAUCUUCAUUCAUAGAUGACUGAUGUCGACAUUUCCUCACUUCUGUUUGAAGUCUUUUCAACAGCAUAGACUCCACACUCAAGCAUCAGUGGGCGCUGGACUUUUAUAAACAUUUUUUCCUAUAAACAAAUAAUUUAUCUUGUAAAAUAUUUUUAAAUUUUACUUAACAAAACAAUGAAAACAGUUCAAACAAACUGGUGUAUCCUAUAAUCUAAAGCUGUUUUAUGUUUGAAGCAAUUUAUAAUUUUAAAGACUUAUUAAAAAUCUGGUAAGAUACUUAGAUCCUAAGAUUCUAGUCAAAUUAUUUUAUAUAUAUAAAAUCUGUCUUUAUUUCUUAAAUAUAAAUUUUAUUCUUAAUUCACACAAAUUAAACAUAUUUGAUUUGAAAUAAGAGGGCGAGCCGAGACCGUCCCUUGGCAACGGGCCGAGACAGAGAUAUCUCAGCCCUGAGGGCGAGACAGCCCUACUUCCUAUAUGCAGCUUCGCCUAGUCCAAACAGGGCUGAUACACUACUGAUAUAGUAUAGGCAUAUACAUGUUUGUGCAUUAGGGAAUCGUCAAUGAAUAAACAUACUUUGAAAAUUUACAAAUACUUGAGAAAAAAAUUUUGCUGGGACUGAAAACCAAACUCGAGCA